rnacentral:rRNA from 1 species
AUGCUGGUUCCGGCAAAAACUCGCGCACCAAUGUUCCCAGCAAAACAACCUCGGCAACAAAAACUCUGUAGUCGCCCAUGGCAGCAAAAAAAAUUGAUGCUUCCAGCAAAAACAAUCAACGGUUCCAGCAAAAAAAUCUCAUCGCCGUUGGUAAUAGCAAAAAUUCUAAACGGUAGCAGCAAAAAAAUUACCGGUUCCAGCAAAAAAAUCAAAGGUCCCAGCACAAACGACUCGACAGGCAUUUGGCUACAUCACAGAUCAAAAAUGGUAGCAGCACCGCCGACAAGGGAUGCAGCUUCACCAGCACCGGAUGUAGCUUCCUCGACAACGGAUGCAGCACUACCCCAGGCAGUCCCAUCACCGUCGUCCAUUGGUUGUAGCAUCUCUGCCACACCGUCGCAACACCUCUGCUAG